ensembl:lncRNA
GAGAACGGGGGUAGCUAAGAGACAGCGACACAUCCCGUCCUCCCUCAAGGACCCUCCCUAAUUCCAGGUGAGGUGAGGAUGACCCAAGAGCUCCAGCGGAUCUAGGCGGCCCUGGAACGAUGCCCACUGACAGUGCUGCCCGGUGUAUCCGGCAGCUGGGGCUCAGGGUGAGGCCACAGAACCUGGCAAUCAGGUUAGACAAGGAAGAUCCCUGGACCAGACAAGGCUCCCUGGACUCUGGGAAGAUGGACACUGCCUUCCUAAGGAGCCCUGUCCUCCAGGGCACAGAAGGAUGUGCUCACCAGCCCGGGUCCAAGCUGUUGGAUGCUGCUUCUGAGACACGACUGAGCAACUUCACUUCACUUCUGCUGUCUCCACUGCUCUGGAUACUUGGCUUCAUCGUCUCAGUUCAGUUCAGUCACUCAGUCAUGUCCGACUCUUUGCGACCCCAUGAAUCGCAGCACGCCAGGCCUCCCUGUCCAUCACCAACUCCCGGAGUUCACCCAGACUCACGUCCAUUGAGUCAGUGAUGCCAUCCAGCCAUCUCAUCC